AAACGAAUUCCGGAGCCACGAAGUCCGUUUUCCGUUUGUUUAGUCGCGCUAAGUUCAGUUGAUGAGCACAAACUCAUCAGCGUAUUCUUGAGUGCGUCCAAACUCUGUAAGCGUACACUGCAACCAGUUAGACGAUUGGCCAUGGGCACAGUCGUAUUGUUGGGCCUUAAAAUCCGACGAUGCGGCGAAGCAUUUGUUUGUUUGUGUCAGUAGUAGCGCGGUGCGUUUCGACGCAUUCAUGUUGCUGGACGCAAGCGAGAGAACUAUGGUCAAAUACUGACUGGGACGAUGAAAAUCGCGCUUUUUUGCGCGUGCUAUAAAACGCAAUCAACCGCAUGUGUGUCUACAUGCGUAUCGGAUGUGUUUAAGCUCAGCACUUUUGAAUUCAGACUUGCCAGCUACCAAUGGGGCAACCCUUGGUGCUGGUGUAGCUUCUGUCUAAUCGGGUGUUGACUUGGCAUGUGUGUAUACGUAUGAAGCGAUUGGACGCACGUGUGCGAGUUGGUUCGCAAUUAUUGGCAGUGAGUAGGUCGGCUUUCCGAACGACCCGUCUUGAAACACGGACCAAGGAGUCUAAUUAGGCAUCGAGUCGAUCGGUCUUGAAUAGGCCAGACUGAUGGGGGCGACCCUGUCGAAUGAAGGCGUAGAGAAAUCAAAUCAUGUGAUCGUGGCGGCAACAACAGCCGUUGCGCGCAACAUGUGCCUGUUCGUAUAGCAAUGUUAGCAAUAACUUGCUGAGCGGAGCAAAGAGAUGCCUGAUUGGUACCCGAAAAUGGGGAACUUUG
rnacentral:rRNA from 1 species